GUCUUUGGCCAUACCACCCUGAACACACCAAAUCUCAUCUGAUCUCGAAAGCUAAGCAGGGUUGGGCCUGGUUAGUACUUGGAUGGAAGAGAGAUCUUCAGAACAGACUGCUCAGAGAAAAGCAGUACAGAGACA
rnacentral:rRNA from 1 species